GGGGCUGACUUGGUUUUGACAUUUAAAUGUUAAGUAAAGUAUGAUGCAGGUCGAAGCUGUUAUUCUUCGUAAAAAACAUACAAUUUUAUAAUAAAUGCUAAUAACAUAAUUCCUUUUAACUUCAAACAAGUAAAUAAGAGUUUUUCUAAUUCUUUAAGUUUUGCAGUUUAGUACAUAAUAUAUUUUGUUAAAUUUCUUUGUUCACUAUAACUAGACUUUUGUUUUUUUUAUAGUUUAGAAUACAUUUAUAUACUGUUCUUUUUUGAACUAUGCCUGUGAACGAGUACUUUAAUAAAAUUUAAAUGGACGUGGGUUCGAUUCCCAUCAGCUCCA
rnacentral:tmRNA from 1 species